CAGACGUCCCCCGACGAAACGAGCAAGGAAAAGAGAAAAAGAGCCCUACCUAACAUGGGCAUGAAGAACCAAGCCAACCUCAUCUUUCUUUGAAAAAAAAAAAAAUCCUUUUUGUGUGAGGUGCCACCGAGGAUUAAAACCAUAGACUUUCUGGUUCCCCCCCCCAGUGGGGGGGGGCGCUGCACACACAGCUGUGGUGACCGUGACGGAGCAGGGAGCCUCUGUCCCCUGCUGUCUGUGCUGUCGUGCAGAGGACCGCUUUGACCUAAAUGCCCAUUCUGCACCCCUAAUGUCCUCGUCACUUGGGGAGCCCGAGGAUGUGAGCCCUGAGCACCUCCCGUCGAAUCUGGACUCAGACCUCUGCCCCCACCCCCCGCCAUCCCGAGAGCGCCAUCCCAAGGCUGGGGAACGGGCCGCUUCUGACGGGUGGCAGAUUUUCCUCUCUCCUCCUUCGGUCUGAGUCAGGGCUGCCCAUCUCUCCACCGAGCACCGUCUCUGAUGGACAUGGAGCUUAGGCAACUUGGAAUGGAGGUGGGGGGUGGGGGGGCCUCCGGAGGGACUCCUGGAGGUGUGAGCCUGGCCAGCGGGGCUCGACAAGGGCACGAUGAGGACGGGCUCCCCACGUGGCUGCCUCCUCCGUGGGAAGCAGGCGGGCGCCAAAAAAAAAGAAAACAAGAGAGCGACACUGGCCCAGGCGCCAGAAGCGACGCGAGGUUGAUGGGUCAGGCCGGGCAGGCUGCCUGUGCGUUAAGAAAUGCCAGGAGAGGGUCACCGCAGGAGGCACCUCCGAUCUGGUGAUGUGCGUGACCUUGGCAUCCAAAUGAUUUUUGUUUAGAACAAGAAAGGGGUCAGGGGGAGAAAAGAAAAAAAAGCAAAGAAAGAUGUUCCAUGAGCUUCAUGGGACGGGACACAGCAGGUGCACAAGGGGAAGCGGGGAGGGGAGCUGGGUUGCGGACGGGGUGGCGGGCGUUGCCUCUCAUCGCGUCUCCUCUCCCUGGUGGGCUGAUGGGCUGGUAGCUGAGGCCGCGGUCCCCUCCCCCGGGGAGCAGGCAGAUGACUUUGGCAAGGCGCGGGGUGCGGGGGUUACUCCGUCUGGGCGUCAUAAUUGGCACCCCCGGCCUUCUUGAGCUCGCUCUUGAUAAAAUCUUCCUCCAGCUCCUUCCGAUCACUGAUCACAAACUCUUUGGCGAAAUUCUGCAAGAACAAAAUGAAACACAGAGUUCCGGUUAAAAAGGAGGAGACGGGAACUCAGUGUUGCUCAGGCAACACACCAGGAAGUCUUGGCACCGAAAAUACUAAGAAACGAUCAAAAUGACAAUCUGGUGGCAGAAUGGUUUGGCAGGGAGGGAAAAAAAAACAAAAAACAUGACUAGAGAUCAGAAGAUGGGUAAAGUCCAGACAUUAUGCAGUCCCAAGACCGUGGAAACAGGCCAAGGUCAGGACUGGGUUUGGACUCCGACUCUGUCGGUUUCCAGCUGUGUGACCUUGGAUAAGUUCUUGCCAAUGUCUAUGCCUCAGUUUCCUCAUCUGUGAAAACCUAUCUUGUCAGGAAAAUAAUGAGAGACGAAGCUGGAAAGGCAGGCUGGUGUGCUGGUGAAAGUAACACCAGGCUUUGCAGAAAAGCGGGCUGGCGGAGGCUGGGGGGAGGGGAGAUGGUUUGUAGUUUUACCCGUUUCCAUAGUAUAAAUGUUCCCAUGAUGGCCGAUUACAAGCUAUGGACAAGGGAGCUGCACGAGGAGCUGGGAAGAGACAUCGCUGGCUGUCAUCAGCUGGCACAAGGUCACUUCAGGCACCCCUGGUCCUGGUGAUUCAGGGCCUCUGUGGUCACUGAACACACUAAAGUAUAUCCUAAGCUCGCCAGCCAGUCAGUGACUUGAAGGCAGAGGCUUUGCCUGCAUUCAUUCAACAAACACCAUGUCAUGUGAUCGGACUGCAGGGAUGAGCAAAUGGAUGAAGUCACUGUGCCCUCUCAGGGUGCACGUGUGUUCAACCCUAAUACCCCACCAGCCUGGCACACAUGAAGCUCUCCCGGAGUGCUAGUGGCAUAAAGAGUGAAGCAGGUGAUAAUGGCUUAUCAGAUAACACUGAGCCAUGAACAGUCGACAGUUAUUUUAAUAUAUGCAUCAUAAGAGAUCCUGUCAUGACUAAGUGGUUAGCAAAUCCAACUAGGAACCAUGAGGUUGCGGGUUUGAUCUCUGACCUUGCUCAGUGGGUUAAGGAUCCGGUGUUGCCAUGAGCUGCGGGGUAGGUUGUGGACGCAGCUCUGAUCCUGCGUUACUGUGGCUCUGGCACAGGGUGGCAGCUGCAGCUCCAAGGAGACCCCUAGCCUGGGAACCUCCAUAUGCUGUGGGUGCAGCCCUAGAAAAGACAAAAACACAAAAAAAGAGUUCCAUUAAGCAAGGAAAAUUUCAGGAUGCGGACAGGUAAGAAUACAGAGAAAAUGACCAAAGUCUGAAAGUCGGAAAAUCAUCCACAUAAAAAAAGUCCACAUGAAAACAAAGUAAACAAUUACCACCAUUUAUUGAGCACCUAAUAUGUACCAGACACGGCCACACAUUAGCGAACUUAAUUCCCAAAACCUUUGACUACGACUCAGCAGUUCUACUUCUAGAAAUCUACCCCAGAGAAAUGAAAGCAUCCACCCACACAAACACCUCCAAACACAAAUAUUCAUGGCAACAUUAGUCAUUAACAGCCAAAAAAUGCAAACAACCCAAAUGCCCAUCAACACAUGAAUGGGUAAAUGAAUGUAUGGCCUAUCCACACAAUGGAAUACUAUUCAGUCAGAAAAAAGAAUGGCACACGCUAUGGCAGGGAUGAACCUCAAAACCCUUAUGCUCAGUGAAAGAAGUCAGACAUGAAAGAUCACACAUUGGGAGUUCCCUGGUGGUCUAGUGGUUAGGAUUCGGGGCUUUCACCUUUGCAGGCCAGGAUCAGUCCCUGAUAUAGGAGCUGAGAUCCCACAUCAAGCUGCUGUGAGCCACAUACCGUAUGAAAGAAAGAAAGAAAGGCCACAUACUGUAUGACUCCAUCUAUGUGAAAUGUCCAGAAAAGGCAAAUCCAGAGACAGAAAGUAGACCCAAGGUUUCUAGAAGCUGGAGACAGGAAGAGACUUAGGGUGAGUUUGAUUUUAUGGCGUAUAAACUAUACCUCAAUAAAACUGUUUUUUUUUUCAAUCCUGUAAAAUGAUUAUUAUUAUUUCCAUUUUAAAGAUGAGAAAACAGGAGUUCCCACUGUGGCGCAGCGGAAACGAAUCCAACUAAGAACCGUGAGGUUGUGGGUUUGAUCCCUGGUCUCGCUCCAUGGGUUUAGGAUCUGGUGUUGCCGUGAGCUGUGGUGUAGGUUGAGGAUGUGGCUUGGAUCCCACGUGGCUGUGACUGUGGUGUAGGCCGGCAGUUGUAACUCUGAGUAGACCCCUAGCCUGGGAACCUCCAUAUGCCGCGGGUGCAGCCCUAAAAGACAAAAAAAUAAAAUAAAGAUGAGAAAACAAAGCCUAAAGACGAUGACACUUGCCUAGAGUCACACAGCUAGUAGGUUCAGCUGACUCUAAAACUGGCCUUCCUAGCAGUGUCACCGUGUCCUCUGGGGGUGAUGGACAUGUUUUGGAACUGAAUAGAGAGGGUGGCUGUCAAUGUACUAAAUGCCACUGAAUUUUAUGUUUUUAAACGGUGGUCAAUUUUAUGUUAUAUGAAUUUUGCCUCAAUUAAAAAAAAAAAUAGAGAGAAAGACUAAACCAAGAGAGCUGCUAAGGUCAGGUUUCGUCGUCCUAAGGUAAAUGUUCAGCAGGCCAAGCCUCCUCCUUCCUAAGAGGAAAGAGGAAGUGGGAGGGCUGAUAUUUAUCAAGCAACUAAUAGGUGCCAGGUGCAGCCUCACGCAUGUUCUCCAGCCUCCCUCAGUCUGUUAGCUUUUCUUUUUUUUCUUUUUUAAAGAUAAGACACACAGGCUGGGUCUGGCCAGAUGACUCAACAGUCUUUCAACCCAUUCUACUCCCAGUCGGCCGUGCUGGGCUGCUCAGGGUCUCUUAAGUCAUCAGCCGCAAGUGAACACAGGGCAGGGUUCUGCUGGGAGGGCAGCGUCAGAAAAGGGGAACCCGGAAGCCACAUGUUUCUCAACCUGAGCCCCGUGGCCAUGGGAGGGGCAGAGAACAGAGCAGAAGGAGGAGGCCUGCAGCUCAAGAUGCCCAUAGAAGGAAGUCCAAAGUCCCCUGCCCUGGGGCGGCUGUAUAUGGCAAUCAAGAGAAGCCAGGACACGCAGGCUUGGGGCUGUUGGCCACUGGAUAAUUCAGAUUAAGAAGUUUGAUCAGGUCUAUGAAAGCCACUAUGGAAGUACGCGGGGAGCUGUGCACACUCCACCUUGAAACCACACGCAUGUGGAAAAUCGAAAUCAAAGCUGACAGGCGCAAACCGGGGUAGCAGAACCCAGUUAAAAGUAACAUAACAAUAAAUAUAAACGAACAAAAUUACCUUUACAAAAAGCUCUGUCUCCAGCUACAGAGUGAAGGAGCCCUAAAGGCUGUACAUGGGAGACAGGUUGAAAACCAAAAGAUGUGCCAAAAAAUGAUCCUAUGAAACAAAAUUAUGGAGAAAAGCAACCUCUAUCCGGUGUUGUGUGAUAAUCUACAGAGGCAAAGGAUCUGAAAAACAAAGGACGAGUGUACACGUAUAACUGAAGCAGUUCAUUGUACAGCAGACAUGAUCAUAACAAUGUCAGCCACCUCUACUUAAUAAAACUCUAAAAAAUAAAGAGAGAGAGAGGAAAGCAACCCCACCCACUCCUACGGUGGGAGCAACCCCACUCUCCAGAGGGCAGGCAGGAGGCAGCCAGCCACAUGCAAGUGGUCCGAGCAGGCCUGGUCUAGAGGGCUCCCCCCACCCCGGGAGGCUGGGGGCUGGAGGGGCAGGGGGUGGGGUAGCCAGAGGCUUCAAAGGUAAGCCAGUGCUUCCCCUCAGGGUGUGGACUCGGCGAAGAGUCCCCCAAAAGUCCGCGUCAACCUAAACCCAACAACUGCACACGUCUACACCUCUGCAUCUUCCAUGGUCCUCACAGAGCGGGCUUUUGACGCGGCAGGGAGACACCAGCCCCUCUGGGGAGGGGGCUGAAAUGUGACUCUUCAAAGAGAGGCAGAAAAAGAGCCCAAAGGGUGCUGUGGACAGCCAGACCGCGACGUGGGCUCAACACCCAGGCCCCGAGACACCUGCAAGGACUAGUCAGCGCUGAAAACCACACAGAACAUAUCAGCCCAAAGCAGCACCACCUCCCUCCCCGCCACAGUCACACCUCCGUGCUCCCAGCCACUGUCCCUGGCACCUCCAGGCACCGCCAAACACCUCCGGGGGCAGAGGCAGGUGACAAAAAGGCUACAAGGUGCAGGGGGCACGUCCCUACCCCCAAGGAGAUCAUUAGGGCCAAGAGCGAUGCUAACACACAGGGAACUUUAUAUUUUCAAGGAGCGACAUUGGAAGAUGUGGCAAAGAAACAGGCGACAUUCACUGCAAGAGUAUUUCAUCUAACUCCAUCCAUAGUCUCAUCAUUUUAAGAGGCAAUCAGUCUGCAAAGCCGCUGGUGGAAUCUCCACAUCCUGUAGUCUGAAAGAAUAACCUGCUCCGUCAAGGACAAUCCAUCAUAAAUCAGCCCAUCUGAGGAGGGGAGGGGGCCUUCAGGUGGGAGAAAGGGGGCUGGGACUAUUCCGUGUCUUGAUCUGGGAGGUGAGUUUUAUGGGUGUAUGCAAAAGUUCAAAAUUUCGAAAUUUGGAAUUCCCUUAUGGCGCUGGUUAAGGAUCCGGUGGCUGUCACUGCAGCAGCUUGGGCCACUACUGUGCCGUGGGUUCGAUCCCUGGCCCUGGAACUUCUACAUGUCACAGGCAUGGCCAAAAAAAUCAGCAAAUUUAGGAAGUUAAAUAAAACUCAGAAAUGUAUCACGCUGUACAUCUAAGUGUCUUUUCUGCUAUGCAAAUUAUACUUUGGUUAAUAAAAAAGGCUGGGGGUGGGUAUGGAGCUGAAAGAGCCGCUGAAACCCUGACAUUCACUCCCUGCCCCUGUUUGAGAGAGAAGAAGUAAGAGACACAGAGAGGGGAAGCAAGUGAUCCCAGGGCGCACAGCAGCCUCAGGGCACGGCUGGGGGAGGGGAGGGGCAGGUGCCU
rnacentral:lncRNA from 1 species